AAGAUGUUCCUAAUGUAGGCUUC
rnacentral:miRNA from 1 species